UUACGGCCAUAUUAAGUUGAAACCGUGGUCCCAUAACGAUCACGGAAGUUAAGCAACGUCGAGCCUGGUCAGUACCUAGAUGGGUAACUGCUUGGAAAUACCAGAUGCUAU